GAUGAACGCUGACAGAAUGCUUAACACAUGCAAGUCCACUUGAACUUCGGUUUGGGUGGCGGACGGGUGAGUAACGCGUAAAGAACUUGCCUCACAGCUAGGGACAACAUUUGGAAACGAAUGCUAAUACCUGAUAUUAUGAUUAUAUGGCAUCGUAUAAUUAUGAAAGCUAUAUGCGCUGUGAGAGAGCUUUGCGUCCCAUUAGCUAGUUGGAGAGGUAACAGCUCACCAAGGCGAUGAUGGGUAGCCGGCCUGAGAGGGUGAUCGGCCACAAGGGGACUGAGACACGGCCCUUACUCCUACGGGAGGCAACAGUGGGGAAUAUUGGACAAUGGACCGAGAGUCUGAUCCAGCAAUUCUGUGUGCACGAUGAAGUUUUUCGGAAUGUAAGGUGCUUUCAGUUGGGAAGAAAAAAAUGACGGUACCAACAGAAGAAGUGACGGCUAAAUACGUG
rnacentral:rRNA from 1 species